rnacentral:tRNA from 1 species
CGGGAAGUAGCUCAGCUUGGUAGAGCACUUGGUUUAGGACCAAGGGGUCGCAGGUUCGAAUCCUGUCUUCCCGA